rnacentral:rRNA from 1 species
AUGGCUCCCAAGACCAACAAAGCUGUCAACUGGGCUAAAUCCAGCAUGUCCCCACUUAUGCUGGACAACUUGGUGAACACCGGGUUGCUCCCAUCCCAAGCCGAAAUAGAAUGGCGCGCACCCGAUGAGGAGAUCCAUCCACUACCUGGUGAGAAUGAGGUCGUCAUAUUCGCCGACCACCUAGACAAGGGCUUUUCUCCUCCGGGUUCAAAGUUCUUCCGCAAUGUACUUCAUCACUUCAACAUCAGGCCUCAAGAUCUUGGACCCAACUCAGUUUUGAAUUUAAGCCAAUUUCAAGUGUUCUGUGAAGUAUAUCUCCAGAUUGAGCCGUUUGUUAGUUUCUUCCAACAUUUUUUCUAUCUCAACCAUCAAACAGAGCACAAGGGAGGACCGAGCAUAGAACUUGGAGGAGCAACCAUCCAAAGAAGGAAAAGCUCGACCUUUCCCAACGUAUCACUGGCGAGCCACUCGAAAGGAUGGCACAUGCCCGGUUUUAUUGCAAGGAUACUUCACCAGCACGGCAUCAUCCUUUGUCGGGUUAUAGACUAG